rnacentral:rRNA from 1 species
CCUCACCCUCGUAAGACUACCCGCUGAACUUAAGCAUAUCAAUAAGCGGAGGAAAAGAAACCAACAGGGAUUGCCUCAGUAACGGCGAGUGAAGCGGCAAAAGCUCAAAUUUGAAAUCCCCCGGGAAUUGUAAUUUGAAGAGAUUUGGGUCCGGCCGGCGGGGGUUAAGUCCACUGGAAAGUGGCGCCACAGAGGGUGACAGCCCCGUGAACCCCUUUAAAGCCUUCAUCCCAGAUCUCCAAGAGUCGAGUUGUUUGGGAAUGCAGCUCUAAGUGGGUGGUAAAUUCCAUCUAAAGCUAAAUACCGGCGAGAGACCGAUAGCGAACAAGUACAGUGAUGGAAAGAUGAAAAGCACUUUGAAAAGAGAGUGAAAAAGUACGUGAAAUUGUUGAAAGGGAAGGGCUUGCAAGCAGACACUUAACUGGGCCAGCAUCGGGGCGGCGGGGAGCAAAACCACCGGGGAAUGUACCUUUCGAGGAUUAUAACCCCGGCCCUUACUCCCA